CACAUGCAAGUCGAACGAAGCAAUUUUCCACGAUCCCUUCGGGGUGACGGAUUAUUGACUGAGUGGCGGACGGGUGAGUAACGCGUGGGUAACCUACCUUGUACAGGGGGACAACAGUUGGAAACGACUGCUAAUACCGCAUAAGCGCACAGCAUCGCAUGAUGCAGUGUGAAAAGUUUUUUCGGUACAAGAUGGAC
rnacentral:rRNA from 1 species